UCUACGGGUGGCAGCAGUGGGGAAUAUUGGACAAUGGGCGAAAGCCUGAUCCAGCCAUGCCGCGUGUGUGAAGAAGGCCUUCGGGUUGUAAAGCACUUUCAGUGGGGAAGAAAGCCUUGGGGCUAAUACCCUCGAGGAAGGACAUCACCCACAGAAGAAGCACCGGCUAACUCCGUGCCAGCAGCCGCGGUAAUACGGAGGGUGCGGGCGUUAAUCGGAAUUACUGGGCGUAAAGCGCGCGUAGGCGGUCUGAUAAGCCGGUUGUGAAAGCCCCGGGCUCAACCUGGGAACGGCAUCCGGAACUGUCAGGUUAGAGUGCAGGAGAGGAAGAUAGAAUUCCCGGUGUAGCGGUGAAAUGCGUAGAGAUCGGGAGGAAUACCAGUGGCGAAGGCGGCCUUCUGGACUGACACUGACGCUGAGGUGCGAAAGCGUGGGUAGCAAACAGGAUUAGAUACCCGUGUAGUC
rnacentral:rRNA from 1 species